GCCCCCGUUGUCUAAUGGUUAUGACGUCAGACUUCUAUACUGCCAUUGAAUCUGGAGGUUGCGGGUUCGAGUCCCGCCGGGGGUU
rnacentral:tRNA from 1 species